rnacentral:rRNA from 1 species
AAAACUUUCAACAACGGAUCUCUUGGUUCCAGCAUCGAUGAAGAACGCAGCGAAAUGCGAUAAGUAAUGUGAAUUGCAGAAUUCAGUGAAUCAUCGAAUCUUUGAACGCACAUUGCGCCCCCUGGUAUUCCGGGGGCAUACCUGUUCGAGCGUCAUUG